rnacentral:rRNA from 1 species
GUAAGGCCCCUUCGGGGGUACACGAGUGGCGCACGGGUGAGUAACGCGUGGGCAAUCUACCGUCGGGACCGGGACAACUCCGGGAAACUGGAGCUAAUACCGGAUGAGACCACGAGAACCUCGGUUCUUGCGGAAAAAGGGUGGCCUCUUCUUGAAAGCUACCGCCUGUCGAUGGGCCCGCGUCCCAUUAGCUUGUUGGUGAGGUAACGGCUCACCAAGGCGACGAUGGGUAGCUGGUCUGAGAGGAUGAUCAGCCACACUGGAACUGAGACACGGUCCAGACUCCUACGGGAGGCAGCAGUCGGGAAUUUUGGGCAAUGGGGGAAACCCUGACCCAGCAACGCCGCGUGAGGGAUGAAGGCCUUCGGGUCGUAAACCUCUGUCGGGAGGGAAGAAUGUCUCCGGGGUAAACAAUCCCGGAGGUUGACGGUACCUCCAAAGGAAGCGCCGGCUAACUCCGUGCCAGCAGCCGCGGUAAUACGGAGGGCGCAAGCGUUGUUCGGAAUCAUUGGGCGUAAAGCGCGUGUAGGCGGCUUGGCAAGUCGGGUGUGAAAUCCCGGGGCUCAACCCCGGAACUGCCUCGAAACUGCUUGGCUGGAGUCCCGGAGAGGAGAGCGGAAUUCCCGGUGUAGAGGU